rnacentral:rRNA from 1 species
GACGAACGCUGGCGGCGUGCUUAACACAUGCAAGUCGAACGGAAAGGCCCUGCUUUUGUGGGUUGCUCGAGUGGCGAACGGGUGAGUAACACGUGAGUAACCUGCCCUUGUCUUUGGGAUAACUUCAGGAAACUGGGGCUAAUACCCGAUAGGAGCUCCUGCUGCAUGUUGGGGGUUGGAAAGUUUCGGCGGUUGUGGAUGUACUCGCGGCUUAUCAGCUUGUUGGUGGGGUAGUGGCUUACCAAGGCUUUGACGGGUAGCCGGCCUGAGAGGGUGACCGGCCACAUGGGGACUGAGAGAGGGACCAGACGCCUACGGGAGGCAGCAGGGGGGAGUAUGGCAGAAUGGGCGGAAGCGUGAGGCAGCAACGCCGGGUGCGGGAUGACGGCCUUCGGGUGGUAAACAGCUUUCGCAUGUGACGAGGCGGGAGUGACGGUAAUGGGUAAAGAAGCACCGGCUAACUACGUG